rnacentral:rRNA from 1 species
UACGUAGGGGGCAAGCGUUGUCCGGAAUCAUUGGGCGUAAAGCGCGCGUAGGCGGCCCGGUAAGUCCGCUGUAAAAGUCCAGGGCUCAACCCUGGAAUGCCGGUGGAUACUGUCGGGCUAGAGUCCGGAAGAGGCGAGUGGAAUUCCUGGUGUAGCGGUGGAAUGCGCAGAUAUCAGGAGGAACACCAAUUGCGAAGGCAGCUCGCUGGGACGUUACUGACGCUGAGACGCGAAAGCGUGGGGAGCAAACAGG